rnacentral:rRNA from 1 species
GACUCAACACGGGGAAACUCACCAGGUCCAGACACGAUGAGGAUUGACAGAUUGAGAGCUCUUUCUUGAUUUCGUGGGUGGUGGUGCAUGGCCGUUCUUAGUUGGUGGAGUGAUUUGUCUGCUUAAUUGCGAUAACGAACGAGACCUUAACCUGCUAAAUAGCCCGUAUUGCUUUGGCAGUACGCUGGCUUCUUAGAGGGACUAUCGGCUCAAGCCGAUGGAAGUUUGAGGCAAUAACAGGUCUGCGAUGCCCUUAGAUGUUCUGGGCCGCACGCGCGCUACACUGACAGAGCCAGCGAGUACUCCCUUGGCCGGAAGGCCCGGGUAAUCUUGUUAAACUCUGUCGUGCUGGGGAUAGAGCAUUGCAAUUAUUGCUCUUCAACGAGGAAUCCCUAGUAAGCGCAAGUCAUCAGCUUGCGUUGAUUACGUCCCUGCCCUUUGUACACACCGCCCGUCGCUACUACCGAUUGAAUGGCUCAGUGAGGCUUCCGGACUGGCCCAGAGAGGUCGGCAACGACCACUCAGGGCCGGAAAGCUAUCCAAACUCGGUCAUUUAGAGGAAGUAAAAGUCGUAACAAGGUUU